GGGGUUAAAGAAAGCGGAUCCUCGGGGCCCACCUCCCACCCGUGUUGCCCGAACCUAUGUUGCCUCGGCGGGCCCCGCGCCCGCCGACGGCCCCCCUGACGCUGUCUGAAGUUGCAGUCUGAGACCUAUAACGAAAUUAGUUAAAACUUUCAACAACGGAUCUCUUGGUUCCGGCAUCGAUGAAGAACGCAGCGAAAUGCGAUAACUAAUGUGAAUUGCAGAAUUCAGUGAAUCAUCGAGUCUUUGAACGCACAUUGCGCCCUCUGGUAUUCCGGAGGGCAUGCCUGUCCGAGCGUCAUUGCUGCCCUCAAGCCCGGCUUGUGUUUGGGCCCCGUCCCCCCCGCCGGGGGGACGGGCCCGAAAGGCAGCGGCGGCACCGCGUCCGGUCCUCGAGCGUAUGGGGCUUCGUCACCCGCUCUAGUAGGCCCGGCCGGCGCCAGCCGACCCCCAACCUUUAAUUAUCUCAGGUUGACCUCGGAUCAGGUAGGGAUACCCGCUGAACUUAAGCAUAUCAAUAAACGGAGGAA
rnacentral:rRNA from 1 species